rnacentral:rRNA from 1 species
GACGAACGCUGGCGGCAUGCUUAACACAUGCAAGUCGAACGAAGUGGCGAACGGGUGAGUAACGCGUAAUCAACCUGCCCUUCAGAGGGUGACAACAGUUGGAAACGACUGCUAAUACCGCAUACUGAAUGAGGGGUUUGCGUGUGAUUAGCUAGUUGGAGGGGUAACGGCCCACCAAGGCGAUGAGCAGUAGCAGGUCGGAGAGGAGGAACGGGCACAUUGGGAAUGGGAAACGGGCCAGACUCCGACGGGAGGCAGCAGUGGGGAAACGUCCGCAAUGGACGAAAGUUUGACGGAGCAACGCCGCGUGGGUGAUGACGGCCUUCGGGUUGUAAAGCUAUGUUAAUCGGGACGCGGUACCGGAAUAGAAAGCAACGGCUAACUACGUGCCAGCCGCCGCGGUAAUAC